rnacentral:lncRNA from 1 species
CUAAGACAGGCACUUGCUAAACCUGUGUGAGCCUUGACUCACCCUCAUAAUUGCCCUAGAUACUGUUCACAAUAAGGACUGAUCCAGAAAGGAGAUAGUUCAGAUGCACAGGGGCACACAACAUGGGAUUCAGUCACCAGGGUGUGAAAAAGCCCUGGCUACAUGAGGAGGCACACAUGGAGAAGAACAAGUGCCCAGGGACUAAACCCAGGGCCAACAGCUAACCAGCCAGCCAGCAAUGAGUCAUCCUAGAAGCAGAUCCAACAGCAGCUGAGCUGCCCUCUAAAUGAAACAGUGAAGAACCCUUGGAAGAACAAAGUGAACAUUGUGUCUCUCAGCUGUUAGGGGCGUUCAGGACCGGCUCUGAGCGGUGCACACUGAAUGCUUAUCCCACAGAGCAAGUUCUCUGUGUGCAGACUCAGCCGUAGGGAGACUGGAGCUGGGAAAUGCUGGUGUUGGUAUGAUCUUCCCUCAUUCCUAGUGAAAAUCCCAAGGUUCUGGAUCCAAGACAUCGGGAGACCUGUGCUUUACCCCCAGGAACUUCUAACAGGGCCAGCUUGGGGAGAGUUGGAAUGAUCAGCUAGGCCAUUCUGGGACCUUGGCACAUCAUUUGUUCCCAUUCUUCAGACAAACAGAGCCAACGGCAUCCUUUAAACAGAUAACACCAGCCUGGUGGUCUCUUCCAAAGAAAAGGCAGAUGGGAAGAAAGAAAAAAGAAGCAAAGGAAGGAAGGAAGGGAUCAAGAAAACAUGCAAAGCAUCACUGUUGUUCUUUUCCAUGGUAAAUCAGAAAGCCUCAAGGUCAAAUUCUUGUGAGCUGUAAAACACAGUGAAGGAGGUGGUAAAAGACAUUGGUGGGAGCUAUGGCAAAUAGAGAAACAUUUGUGAGGGGACCACCACCCCACAACUCAUCUCCAGUCUACAGCUGAAUGGGGAAAGCCUCUUGCAGUGUAUCAGUCUUCUGGCUGUAGGGAGAAGUUCCAAAUCCACUCUUUAAAUAAUGCAUCAGCUAAUGCAAGCAUGUAUAUGAACCACCUCUGGAUAUGUAGAAAGAACUGUAGCUGUGUUGCAGGGUUCUAAAGUGAAUAAAAUAAGACAGAAUCAACAAUUAUUUGUGAAUAUAUAUAUAUAUAUGAAAAAUCUAUAAACAUAAUACAAAAUAGGUCUAGUGAAAAGCAGC